AAACCAUGAUGGGGACAUAACCUGAACAUCCCUUUAAACCUAUCCCAAGCUUCAUACAAAGAUUUAGUCACAUUCUGUUAGAAGCUAGCAAUCAAAUUCAUCAUGU